GUAAGUCUCAAAAUCCAAGGCUUCCCAUAUCUUGGAGAAAGCAAAUCUUGUCUCAGGCAAUCCAAUGUAUCAUGUUACUGUCCUGCUUUGAGCUCCACCAGAAGUUGGCAAUGGCACUCCGCAAUUUUUUCGUCACUCCUUGGGGCAAUAGGAAACAUGACAUGACGUACGUAAGAACGACUUGUGCAACGGAUUUUAUUUGAAUUUCUUUUCCACCUUUGGAAAGAAGUCUUGCAGACCAAUUAUUGACCCGGUUACUUAAACGAUCGUGAACAUAAGAAUACUUUCUUCUUUGAUCCACAGAUUUGCUCUGGGAGACCCAAAUACAUUCCCAUACCCCCUCUGAUGAUAUUCCUAUGGAAUUUUUGAUACCUUGCUUUAAAUGCGGGGCUACUCUAUUCCCGAACAUGAUGGAUGAUUUGCCCAAAUUAAGUUGUUGUCCCGAAGCCGAUCCAUGUGUAUUAAUAAUCCUGAAAAUCUUGGCUCCCUGCUGGAUUUCCGCUCUACAGAAGAAAAGACUAUCGUCAGCAAAAAAAAGAUGUGAAACCGGUGGACUCGGUUGGGCUACCUUCAGCCCAGAAAUGCGAUUUUUCUCCUCUGCUCCAUUGAGUAGUGAGAUAAGAGCUUCAGUACACAGGAUAAAGAAGAAGGGAGAAAGAGGAUUUCCUUGCUGCAGUCCUCUCGAUGGGAUGAUCUUUCCUUUCGGUUCUCCAUUAAUAAGGACUUGGUAUGAGACCGAGGAGAUACAGAACAUCAGGAGUCUGAUCCAUCUCUCAGAGAAUCCUAGCUUGAUCAUUAGGGCUUCAAGGAAGCUCCAUUCUACCCAUCGUAUGCUUUACUCAUGUCUGUCUUGAUGGCCAUGAAAUUUUCUCUACAAACGGUGUUGGUACGGAGGGCAUGAAAAUUUUCUUGUGCCAGCAGAAUGUUGUCUGUAAUAAGACGUCUAGCCAUGAAGGCCGAUGGAGUUUCCGAAAAUAGAUUUGGCAAAGUCUUCUUUAGUCUUUUACACAGAAGCUUAGAGAUAAUUUUAUAGCAAACGUUACACAGACUAAUCGGGCGAAAUUUCGUCAUUGCUCUGGGCUAUUCUUUUUUGGGGAUAAGACAUAUGUUAGUCUGAUUAAGUCUAGGAUCAAAAGAUCCCGAAGCAAAAAACCUUUGACCAAUUUAACUAUAUCAUGGCGGAAAUCUUGCCAGAAUUUUUGAUAAAAUUUACUUGUCAUCCCAUCAGGUCUGGGGGCUUUGUCCGGGUUAAUAUCAAAUAGGGCUUCCCCAAUCUCUGCUUCUGAAGGGUCCAUUAGCAGGAGCUGAUUAGAGGUAUUUGUAACUUUCUCGGUAAUAAACCGGAGUGCAUUUCCUGGAUCUGUAGGCUGUGACGAAGUGAAUAGGUUUUGAAAAUAUUUGGAGGCCACCCGUUCAAUACCUCUCAUAUUUUCCACUAAGUUCCCAUUAUUAUCCUUUAAGGAAAUGAUACGGUUCCGGCUUCUCCUUUGUUUGGUAAGAGCAUGAAAAUUUUUUUUUUUUCGUGUUCUUAUCGCCAUCCUUGUGCCAUCGCUUCCGACUCUUUUGUUGCCAGUAGAAGAAAAACGCUGAGCAGAGUUUCCUCUUGAUCUCUUCUAUUUCUUCUGUCGUGGUGUUCUCAUCAUCUUGUGCGAAAUCUAGUUGAUUCUUUAAGUCUUCGAUUAUCUUCUCCGAAUUAGUGGAGAGAGAUUUCUUCCAAAUGGAGAUACUCUUACGACAGUUUGCAAUUUUUUAUGGAAAUCUCGACGAGAGAUUCCAUCUGAAAUCUAUAUAAAAAACAUAAACAAUUAAGCCGAGUUAAAUAACAAUUACUUACAUUUAGUUAUACUUAAUAAGAAAAUCAAAUAGAAACCCAAACUUUCCAUAAAUUAUAAAUAUGAAAUGUACAAUAUUUGUACUUUUUGUUGGGACAUAGCCAACAAAUUACGAUAAAUUUGAGUAUUCAAAAAAUAAUUUUGUGAAUAAAAAAGGAGGGGGAGGGGCUGUGUGAAGAGCAUUCUAACUUUUGGGAAUGUAUGUCUAUUAAACUAUGAGUUGAAGGAUAUACUUUUCCUAUGUAAAAUAGUAUGAAAUCUACUAUAUUUUUACUUUUUACUCUUUGGAACAAAGACAGUAAAAUACGAUAAUUUCAACAUCUCUCUCUAAAUAAUUGUUCAUUUAAUUUCAUUUUUUUGGAAGAUUUGUGGAUCUCGCUUUGUGGAAAUGCAAAUCCUUCUUCAUGAAUUUGACCUUCUGACAUGAUUGAGUGCUAAGAAUUCAGGAAUUGAGAGAAACUAGCUCGCUAAAACAAUUGGAAGUAGCUAUCGACAGUUUUCUUAUGCUGAGAUCUGAGGUGAGUAGUUAUUAAUCUGAAAGAUAGGAUUGAACAGUUUUAAAAUGUUUUCUAUGGUUAAAUGCAAAUUCAUUUUGAGUUUCUGACAUUAGUUUGUGAUUGUACAAUCCAGGAAAUGAGAAAAACUGGUUGGACUAAACUAUGUGGAUAAAUUCUUUCAAAGUUGAUGCUUAGAGACUUGGACAGAAAAUCUUUGGUCUGAGAUAUAUGGUAAUAACAAUAUACUUUAUGCUGAGUUUGAUUGUUGAUGGCUACUCUUGCAAUAAGUAUCUUCACUUGUGAAUUGUGAUUGAAACAAUAUGCCAACUAUGUUGUAGAUAAAAGUGAUGAAAUCUUUAAGAAUUUUUGGCUCUCUGCUUUGUAGCCUAAAAUAAGUUUUUAAAAAAACAAAAUCCAGUGUUGUUUUCUAUAAACGAAAACAACUAAAAUAGAAACAGAAACUACAAAAUACAAAAAACAUAAACUAUAAUCUAUAAUAUGUUUUUUUUUAUUUAAGAAAAUUGUUUAUCAGGUUAGUAGAAAAUGAUUUUAAUUUUGUGUUACAUAUUUUUACGGGUAAUUUCAUUUUGUUUUCUAUAUUUUAUUUUUAUUUUAUUUUUACGGGUUAUAAAAAAAUAAUUAUAAAUCUGCAUAUAUAUGCGGAUAUAAAUGCUUACUAUUAAUCUACCAUUUUCUUAUUCACAUGUAUUUGAGCUGAAUACAAGUCCAUCUUUUUUGGUAAUGCUUUUGCCUUUAAUCACUUUUUACUUGAAAACUUAGUGAUAGCAUUCGUUUUACUGACAGUGAGAAUUGGACAUAAGAGAUUUCAAGAACAUAGAAGAAGAAGGAAAUGCCAAAAUUGAAAAUCCUGAUCCUAGUUGAUCGUCUUAGAACCCUACCUUCUGCUCCAAAUUUGUCUACUUUCUGAGCCAGGCAGGUCGACAAGAAUUAGUUUUCACUUUAUUAACAUGCUGAAAUCUUUACAUAAGCUCCAGAGCUCCACCAUUAAGCAUCACAAUUUUAUGACUAACUGUGAAAAAGAGCUUUACCUCUUAUCUUUAACUGAACCCUGCUGGAUUAUGAACAAGCAAGCGCAGUGGCUUCUACUGCUAGACAUUUUAUCUCUGGCGUUCAUUGUUAAACUGAAAACAAUCUUCAAGAUGACUCUCAAUCAGUUAUAGCUUUUUGGUCAGCUUGUUGUAGCAUAUUCAUAAUCUCAUAAUCUAAAAUGGCAAGAGUUGUACAGGUUGCUACUAAAAUAUUGAUGUUCUCGAAAAGAAAGGACGUUACAUUCCAAUCUUUAGAUUACAUACGAGGAGAAGGAGGAGGGUGUGCCAGUUUGUGUCAACAUUACUACUACAAACAACUACAAAUAUUACAAGGCCAAACUCUGCUUCAUCACUUCCAUUUUGGUGAGAAGCCUUCCCAUCUCUUCCUCCAUUCUCAUCCUCAUUUCAUAGAACUCUCUCUCCCCUCUCUCCAUUGCCUCCAGCUCCUCGUGCAUCCUCCUCCUUCUCUCCUUUGUCUCGUCCACACUCAGCUUCCCAAUUCUCCUCUUGUACUCCUCUUCUAUCUUCUCAUUCUUCGCUACUGCUAUACGUUUCAGCCCAUCUGCCUCUCUUCUUGCAUCAUCUGCCCGCCCUUGGAACAUCUCUGCCUCUGCUUGUUUCAUUCUCACGAUGCUUUCUAGUUCUUCGAAACGAGGUUCUUUUGGAGAUGAUCCUCUUAUCAUUCCCGUCUCAAAUCCACAUAUUUCUCUUUGUCUCUCUCUGUGGAACACACCAACUACACUUGCUGACCUUUUGAGCUGAUGGUCUGGUUUAUCUGAGCACACCGACCUCAGCCACGCUGUGUCUUGACUAGGGCUUCCCCUAUCAUGUCUGGGUUUUGGCUGUUCGUAUCUGAACGGUGCACAAGUUUCACCAGGAGUUGAGGAGGAAUCACAGUCUACCAUCACCAAGCAAAGUAUUGAACUAGUAAUGAUCAGCAAUGACCAUUUUUUACAAUAGCUAUAUAAAAAGAAAAAAAAAAAAACAGGUAUGGUUCACAAUUCAAACAAUUAUGCGCACCUGAAAUGAAACCCAAUAUCCGAUUGCAAGCUUCAGGAUGGCCUAUCGAUUUACUCUUCAACCUUGCCAGGAUCGCAUCAGCAGUUUGUCUCAGCUGUUUCCCUUUAAAGUCUUUGCUAGAUGAAAAUAUCUUACUGACAUAUUCCAGUUCCUUACAGAAACGCUCGAAUUUCCAUUCUCUGGCAAAAUUCAGAAACACUUCUUUGACAAAGCCAAACAUCUCCGAGGGAUGGUCACAAGCGACACAGUGAAAUUGCAUUUCAGUCAUUCUUGGAGCACCAGAAGCAUUGAUCCCAUUCCGGACGUAAGAUUCUCGUAUCGCACAAUCCGUGUGGCACCAGUGAAGACACACAUCACACCCAACCCAGCUACAUGUGUUUGAUGCCAUAUCAAAAUUUGAGCACACAAGACACAUGCAGGCACUACAAAAUCCAUCAUUCCUUGAACAAACCCUGCAAUCGCAUUCAUCCACAGGCACAAGAACCCUACAAGAAAGAUUUUUGCAUCUCAUGUUCAUGUAUAUCUCAGCUAGAUGGGUAGAAGAGAUGUUGCUGUUGUCCAGCUGAAGGAAAUCAGAACAUCCAGUUUUUAGUGCGACCAAGAUCUCCAACUGAGCACGAUGAGAUUUUGUAAGCAAUUCCAGUGUUAUAUCAGUCCUGUGCUGCAGAGAAUCUUGAAAAGCACUAAGUUUUACAUUUUUAUCCAUGUUCAGCAUUAUCUGACGUAUGUUUUCCUUCAGGCUAGUGAUGUAUCCAGAGGGCAUCUCAUGAAAUCUCUUGGUCAUCACAUCCAUAGAAUCAGAGAGAAUGUAUUUUAUGACCGUCUCAACAGAAUCAUCCCCACUAGCUUCCUGACCACUUAUCCAAGAGAUGCUACCACCGAAAAAAUCCUUCGCUUUCUUCUUCUCAACAUGAAACUUUGAAUCAUUUUCAAGAGAGCUCGUUCUUGGACAUGCUGAUUUAACAUCAAUACUUUUCUGGAAACUCAAUUGUUUUUCAAGCCUAAUUGCUGCUUUAGAGCCCCCAUCGGUCAAUUUAAGCUGCUCUUCAUCACCCUGACCCAUACUUAAAACACCUUUCAUUGCUUGAGGGUGAACUGAACCAUUUCCAUUUUCCAUCAGCCUUUGAUAGACUGUAUUCUCGUUGUACCUUGAAUUGUUAUGAGACAGAGCCUGCCAAUCUAUACCCUGAAAUAUAGGCCGACUAUGAACUGACUGCUCAUUAUCUCCAAUAUUUUGAUUCAAUGAACAGCUUGGAUUAUGAUUAAUCGAACGGGAACCUGAAAAGGACAUAGACAUGGUGAAGCUGUCAGAAUUGGUACAAAACGUGCCAGUCAAAGAGCGAACACUUCCAGAACGAGCUGGUGAACCCAGAGGCUGACUAGUAUCCUGGCCACCAAUUGGCAACAAUACAUCUGGUAGGCUAAGUGAUAGAUCCAGUGGCUCCAACAACAACUUCUCAUCCUUUGGCUUAUUGACACCCGGCUGCUCAGUUUUAUUUGUUUUACUAACCAGAGAACUAGAAAACAGUUCAAACCCUCUAAUACUUGAUUCUCCGAAGUUAUCAUCUUCAUCUUUAUCCCUGUCAGUAAGAUCCUCAGAUUUUCCUUCAGACAAGACAACAUUUUCAUGUAACUUAGCAGAUGGGACAUCCAAAUGUUUGCCCUUAUCCUCGCAUUUGUGGAUGGAACUAUCUGAUAUAAUGCUAAUGUAUUUAGCAGGCAAUUUAUUUCCUAGAGCAUUUUCCUCAAAAAAUACAGGGGCUUCAACUUCUGCUUUGUUGGCAUCACCAUCAGUACCCUUAACUCGCUUAAGCUCUUCUGACUGAAACCGUUCAGGAACAGCUGGAAAAAGACUUUCUCCCAACUUCACUUCAUGGUUCACCUUGUAUUCCUCUCCCUUGUCGCCUUUAUCAUCGACCAUAUCUGUAAUCGCAUUGACAACAGAAGUGUUCCUGUCAUCUCUAAGCUCGUGUUCAUUAGCCACAAUUGUAUCAUUCACGUUGUUUUGAGAAGUAGGCAUGCUCUCAAUCACAUGCUCAGACACUUUUUCUCCCUUUUCAACUCUUUUUCUAUCCAUCAUAUUCUCAGCCGUUUUCGUUUCCCUAUCACCACCAACAUGUCUGACUUCCUUGUUAACUUCAAUUUCAGCUUUUUUUAAUUUAUCAUUAAACUCACCGUUUCUUUUAGUGUCUUGGAAACUACUAUCAAUUUUUUCGUUCUUCUUGUCUUCACAGUCAUGUGUUGUAUGAGCAGCCUCAGAUGCGGCCUCUAGUUGGGGCUCAGGCUCAAGCUCUCCUUCCUCCAUCUCGCUGCUACUGCUUCUACUGCUCUUACCCUGCACUUCGUCCUCGCUAUUCUUCACAACAUUUCCAACACUCUUCGACUGCUCACUCCCGGAAUCUUUGGACCAAGUGGGAGAAGCCAAAGAUUUGGAUCUGGACUUGGAAUUUCUCGAAUCCAUUUUCAAUUUCGAUUGCUCGUUACCAGAGCCUCUGGACCAAGUAGGGGACUUGACACUCCUUUCCCUCUCUCCAUCCCUUAAUCUCAAAGAAAGCCCUCCCCUUUCUCUGUCUCGAUCAUCCCUGCCAAAUUCAUUCCCUGAACCACCAAACCUCCUCCAUGAAGAAACGCUAGCUUCCCUUUUAGGCCUCUCCCUCUCGGAACGGAAUCCUUUUGGAAAAUCCCUCCUUGAGAAACAAGCACUCUCAGAUCGAUGGAGCCUUUCCUCCCUGUACCGGACAUCAGGCUCUUUCCUUCGAUUAUUAUUAAAGUCACGACUGGAUUGCCUACGGGAAAAACCCCUGGAGAAACUAGCAUCGUCACCGGAUAAAAAAGGCUGGCGGUCACGGUCAUAUCUGGUAGGGGAUAUGGGUCCUCUGCGAUUGGAGGACUUGUGGAAGAAACCUCGAUGGGAGGAAGAGGCGGGACGGUUGGAGUUUAGAGGUUCUCCAUCAAUAUUCUUAUCAUUGUAGGAAUCAAGGUCAUCGCUGCUGGAUCUUGGUCGUUUCAUCUUUUAAAAUUGCGAUUUAGAAUACGCUGCGAUAUGAAAUCGUAAGAAUCCAGCGAAGAGAGCAAGCUACUUUUUUUUUUUUGAAAAUUGGGAAAUAAAGAGGUAAUCGGAUAAAACGUACAAGAGGAGAAAGGAAUAAGAGAGUACCUGGAGAUACCCAAAGUAAAAUAACGAGUUUGGUAAUCAGAAACCACGAAAAUUCGAAACUAAACCAUCGAAUUAUCAAAAAUCUUAUUUAGGUAGUGGGGCCAUGGCGGAUGUAAAAAUUUCAGGCAUUGACCAGAUUUUCUUUAUUUUCUGCUAUUUCCUUUUUAACAUCUUUUUUGCUAUAUAGUGCUAUUUAUUAUUUCAAUUUUUUUUUUGUAGUGCUGUGAUUUACUUAAUAGUACUAAUAGUACCUGUGUUCAAAAAAUCGCCAGUUAGACGAUUAAUCAGCCGAUUAGGCGACUAGGCACGGAUCGAGGGCAAGCCGCCGCAAUUUUAGGCUAGGUGGUCGGCGUUCAGCUUAGUCGAUUAUCCACCUUAUACCGAUACUUUUAAAAUUUCGGUGAGACUUAUUUAAAUCGGAAACUUAUUAAUACUAUUGGAGCCCAAUAACUGGCCCAACUGAAGUGGACCGCGCUCUUAAUAUGGAUUGACUAGAAUAAGAAUCCUUGGGAGAUGAGGACUCUUAUUUAUAGUGCAGCUUCCCCUUCUCAAUUAUCCAAGUUUGUCGAUGUGGGACAACACAAAAGACCUACUUCUAAAAAAAAUGAAAUCUAUUAAAGCACGACGCUGGUAAAGCAUCAUUGCAAUGGUUGCAGGUCCAAGGAACCAGAUAGUAUACAGAAUCUCUCUUAUCAUGAAGAAAUAUAGUUCUCCUACUCUUGCCUCUACUAUCAGCAAUCUCACACCACCUUUCACAUUCACCCUAGCCGUUAUCUUCAGGUUCCACCUCUAUCUCUUUCGAUUCUGUUUUGCGAGAUUGGUCGGGAGCCUGGACAAUGAAAAUACGCGAUGGUUCCAAAUUAACUAAUCAUACAUAAUCUCAUUCCUUUUGCUUUUGUGGAAUGAAUAAUAACUAAUUAUAACGAAUAUAGGUUUUGCGUAUAUUUGUUAUCGGCAGUGUCAUUGGAUCAAUGAUAUUGUGCUUUGGAUUCUACACUGUGAUUUGGGGAAAAGCAAGAGAGGAUGUAACCAAAAGUGUAGCUGGUUCCGAGCAGUCACCUUUGCUACUUACACACAUCAUAGAAGAUGAAGCCUUUUCACUAAGAUAAGAUUGAUGCAAGUUAAAUCCUUGUAUUAUUAAUUUAUAAAUAUGACUCCUUUAGAAGAUGGUCUUUGUUUAUGUGUAUCUGUUUGAGGUUAAUUAAGAAUGAUAUAUAUUUGACUCUAUAAUAAAUAUUUGUUUUUCAUUUUUCUAUCACCUGGGCAAUGCGUUCACUUUCCUUGCUUAGGUUUAAAGUAUUGGUCAAGUUGGAAUAUUUAUAUAAAAUAAAUAAUAUAUUAGCAAGUUGGAGUAUUUAUCUAAAUAAAACAAUGUAUUAGCAAACGUGGUGGGAUUAACCACUAUGAUUACCUAUGAACUCACUUUGACUUCUGAGAGAUUUUGAAAAGUCUAGACAUCAGGUCCUAUGGCAAGAGGAGCAGAAGAAGAGACAGAGGCAUGGAGAUUCUUUUGCAGAGAUGCUGUGCCAUUUGCUGUGAUGGUCGCAGUGGAGUGUGUCGCGGUUGGAUCUAACACACUUUUCAAGGCUGCGACCUUGAGAGGAUUGAGCUUCUAUGUCUUUGUCUUCUACUCUUAUGCUGUUGCUACACUUGUCCUUCUUCCACUUUCCCUCAUCUUUGGAAGGUACUUGAUUUCCUUCAACUAGUCUUGCCUUGUAUAUACUUUUCAAAGGAUAUGAAGUUAUUUUACAUUGUGCAGGUCAAAAAGAUUACCGUCAGCCAAAUCUCCUGUCUUCUUCAAGAUUUUCUUACUUACGCUUGUCGGGUAAUUAUAUACUCUUAGAGUUAUGGUCUUAUAAGCAUUUCUGUUUCUUAAACUUGGAUGAAACAGGUUGAUGUCGUCAAUAUCUGGCUGUAAAGGAAUAGAAUUUAGUUCUCCUACUCUUUCCUCUGCUAUUGGCACCCUCACGCCAGCUUUUACCUUCAUGCUCGCCGUUAUCUUCAGGUUACAACUCUUUCUCUUUUUGACUCUGUUUCGGUAAAGUAAUCUAGACAGCUGAAUUAACUCUGUAAAAUCUCUCAAGCUUUUUGCCUUUGUGGACUGACCAAGAUAAGUUUUUAACAUCCUAACAUUUACUUCUUCUGGUCAGUGAGUAAGUAGUUUACACACGAAAACAGUUCGGUACUAAUCAAAAACUAAAACACAUGGAAAAGAUCACAGCCACUUGUACAAGCACAACCUUGUGGUUGAAUGGUUUUGAGGUUUGUUUGUUAUUAUCAUCUAAUCAUUUAACUCUAAUCAGUUCUUACUUCCUUGGGUGACUUGUGAAGGAUGGAACAAGUAGUGUUAAGGAGCUUUACGAGUCAGGCCAAAAUCAUUGGCACCAUAGUAUCUAUAUCUGGUGCUCUGGUUGUUGUGUUAUAUAAAGGCCCAAAAGUUCUUGCUGCUGCAUCUUUUACAUCUUCAUCAUCUACCAUUUCGCUUGACCAUCAUUUGACUUCGUUUGAUUCAAGUUGGAUAAUCGGAGGGCUUUUGCUUGCUUCACAGUAUUUUCUUAUAUCAGUCUGGUAUAUUCUUCAGGUAUGAGAAAAGACUUUGGAUUUGUCGUUGACACAUAUAACUCUUGCUAAAUUUUGCAGCUCUAUAUGAUUUCAGACUCAGGUCAUGGAGGUAUACCCUGAAGAAAUAACAGUAGUAUUCUUGUACAACUUAUGCGCAACACUAAUCUACUUACCAGUAUGUCUAUUUGCCGAAAAAGACUGGACAUAUUUUCUGCUUAAACCGGAUGUCUCCCUUGCUGCAGUCUUGUACUCGGUGAGAAUCAAAUCUUAUAUGUUGCUCUUCAAGCAUCAAGAAGUGACUAUCUUUUAAGCUCAGAAAUCAACAUUCUUUUUCAGGGAGGCUUACUUUCAUCAUUUGGCAUAGUUAUACACACAUGGGGUCUGCAUCUGAAGGGUCCAGUCUAUAUAUCCUUGUUCAAGCCAUUGUCUAUUGUCAUUGCAGUUAUCAUGGGUGCUAUGUUCCUCGGCGAUACAUUUUACCUUGGGAGGUAUUAUAUCUUUUACAGUCUUCUUUAAUAGUACAUUCAGAUGAUUUUAUCUAUACUGUCUCUUCACUGAGAUCCAAUCAUAACACCAAAAUUAGUUUCAUGUAUCUAUCCAUGCAAUCUAACUCAUCACAAGUCACUCUUAGCCUCCUCAUAUAGUUUCUUCAUGUAUAUAAAUCAUGGUAACUUGGUAAGCCUUUGGAGACAAUAUUAACCGAUAUAAAUCUCGCAUAUAUGUGUUGUGAGCAGUGUCAUCGGAUCAGUGAUCUUGAGCUUAGGAUUCUACACUGUGAUUUGGGGCAAAGCAAGAGAGGCUUCAUCCAAAACUGUGGCUGGUUCUGAGCAGUCACCUUUGUUGCUUACACACAACAUAGAAGAUGAAGCUGAUCAUUGAUACGUGACUGAUGCAAGUGGACUACUUCUAUAUUUUUCAUUUGUAAAUAUGGUGCCAUUAAGAGAUGGCCCCCAUUGAUGUUUAUGUAUACUAUUUUUCUGUUUCUGUGUCUUGUAUUAUUUCAAGAGUUAAAUAAGAAUGUUUUUAUUGAGCAAUUGGCAAAGUGACUAAUAUUUCGAAAUUACCUUCCCUAUGCUUGCUUCUAAGCUCAUUUUGUCUUGAGAGAAUUUCUCAGAGUCUAGACAUCAGAUCUAUGUCAAGACAAGUUAAGGAAGAGACAAGCAAAGGACGAGACAAGCGUGGAUGCUUUGCAGAUUCGCUGCAAUGGCUACUAGUCCUUCUUCCACUUUCCCUCAUCUUUAGAAGGUACUUAGAAGCUUAUCUACUCUUUUCCCACUAUGAAUUCACAAAGUCUUAUGAAUAUGUAAGAAAUAUUGUCAUUGUAUUUGUGGCCUUGCUUAUGAAUGCUCAAAUGGAAGUUGGGAAAUUCUUCAGCUAGAGGAUUAAGUGCUAUGUCUUCUUUGAAGAGAAGAGGAAAAAGCUCCUUGUAGUGGGACCCUUCAUCAUAAAUAUUUUAGUUGUAUGGUGUUAAGUAUUAGUCAAGUUGGUAAUAUUUAUCUAAAUAAAAUAAUUUAUCAUUUAGAAAACGUGGUGGGGAUUAAUAACUAUGAUUUGCUUAUGAAGUGACAUUGACUUCUGAGAUUUUGUGAAAGUCUAAACAUCAGAUCUAUGACAAGAGGAGCAGGUGAAAAGACAGUGGCAUGGAGAUACUUUUACAGAGAUGUUGUGCCGUUCAUAGCAAUGGUCGCGGUGGAGUGUGUCACUGUUGGAUCUAACACACUGUUCAAGGCUGCGACCUUAAGAGGACUGAGCUUUUAUGUCUUUGUCUUCUACACUUAUGUUUUUGCUACACUUGUUCUUCUUCCACUUUCCCUCAUUUUUGGAAGGUACUUGAUCUCCUAAACUACUCUUUAUUACCAGUAUAAACUUUUCAAGAAUGUGAUCAUAUUUUACAUGUGCAGGUCAAGAAGAUUACCUUCAGCCAAAUCUCCUGUCUUCUUCAAGAUUUUCUUGCUUGCGCUUCUCGGGUAAAUUAUAUACCUCUACAGUUAUGGCCUUAUGAGCAUUUCCGUUUUUUUUUUUCUUAACUUGGAGGGAACAGGUUCAUGUCACUGAUAGCUGGCUCCAAAGGAAUAGAAUAUAGUUCUCCUACUCUUGCCUCUGCUAUCAGCAACCUCACGCCAGCUUUCACAUUCACGCUCGCCAUUGUCUUCAGGUUCUCAUUCGAUUCUGUUUUCGGAAAGUAAUCUAGCAAGAUUCCACACUAUGCUGGGGUGAUUCCCACACUUGUAAACCGUAUCUAAUCUCAAGUCUUUUGCUCUUUUGGAAUGAACAAGAUUUGAUUUUGUGGUCCACACUCUUUAUUUUUUUCUGGUCAGUGAGUAUAUAUCGGUAACUGUUCGGUUCCAAUCAAAACCAAAGCACACGGAAAAGGUCACAGCCACUAGUACAAGCACAACCUUGUGGUUGAAUAAACGAAUGUUGCACCUUCAUUUCCUCUUAGAGAAAUUGAAUGGAUUUGAGGUUUUUAUGUUACUAUCAUUUAUUCAUUUAACUAUAACUGAUUCUGCCUCAUUUGGUGACUUGUAAAGGAUGGAGAAAGUAGUGUUAAGGAGCUCUGCGACUCAGGCUAAAAUCAUUGGCACCAUAGUAUCUAUAUCAGGUGCUCUGGUUAUUGUUCUUUAUAAAGGCCCAAAAGUUCUACCUGCUGCCUCUUCAUCAUCUACCAUAUCGCUUUACCAGCAUUUGACUUUCUCUGAGUCAAGUUGGAUAAUUGGAGGCAUAUUAGUUGCUGCACAGUAUUUGCUUGUUUCAAUCUGGUUGGUUCUUCAGGUACAUAACAGUUCAUGAAAAAAAAAAAGACUUUUGGAUUUGUAGGUGACACAUAAAACUCUUGCUAAAUUCGGUAGCUCAUAAACAAUUUCAGACUCGGAUCAUGGAAGUAUACCCUGAAGAAAUAAAUGUGAUAUUCUUAUAUAACUUAUUUGCAAUGCUAAUCUCAGCACCUGUAUGUCUAUUUGCGGAAAAAGACUUGACUUCUUUUCUGCUUAAACCGGAUAUCUCCCUCGCUGCAGUCAUGUACUCGGUGAGACUCAAAACCUUAUGUGUUGCCUCAAGCACUGACUAUAAGUUAAGCUCAAUAUUGAACGUUCUGUUUCAGGGUGGGUUAGUUUCAGCAUUGGGCUCAGUUAUACACACAUGGGGUCUCCAUCUCAAGGGUCCAGUGUAUAUAUCCUUGUUCAAGCCCUUGUCUAUUGUUAUUGCGGUCAUCAUGGGUGCUAUGUUCCUGGGCGAUCCACUUCACUUGGGGAGGUAACAUAUCUUCACAAGCCACACUUGCUUCCAUAUUUCCUUCAAAUGCCUCUGUGUAAUUGCUAAUAUAUCUGUCUUAAGUGUAAUAUGCCUCUGGAUGUGUGUUUUGGGCAGUGUCAUCGGAUCAUUGAUAUUGAGUUUUGGAUUCUACACUGUGAUUUGGGGCAAAGCAAGAGAGGAUUCAAACAAAACUGUGGCUGGUUCUGAUCAGUCACCUUUGUUGCUUACACACAUGGGAGAAGGUGAAGCCUCAUCAUUAAUACGUGACUGAUGCAAGUGGAAUACUUCUAUUUAUAUGGAGCAAUUAGGAGAUUAUGACGCUCUCUAUUAAUGUUAAAUGUAUAGAUAUGUUUUACAUACAAUCCUGUUCUAUUUCAUUCUGUAGUAAUUCAAGGUUAAAUAAGAAUGAUUUUUUUUCCCUCGGAUUCACACAAUGAUUUUGAAACUAAGUUUGAAUCAUUAUGAUUUUGAAAGUCUUACUCACUGGAGAAGAUUGUUGUAAUGAAUUGAUUGAUUAAAAAAGUUCAUAGUGGUGGGUCCCUAGAAUAUUGGGAUAUGAUAUUUGUGGUGUAAGUAUUAAGUCACGUUGGGGAAUUUUCCCUUUUGUCGUCACUAAGACCAUGGCUUGCUUCUAAACUCACUGUUACCUUCAAAGAAAUAAUGAGAAUCAAAUCUAGAUACCAUGAGAGAAACAAUGGCGUGGAGGUACUUUAACAGAGAUGUUGUGCCAUUUGCUGCAAUGAUCGCUGUGGAGUGUGUCACGGUUGGUUCGACCACACUGUUCAAGGCUGCGACAUUGAGAGGAUUGAGUUUCUAUGUCUUUGUCCUCUACGUUUACGUUGUUGCUACACUUGUCCUUCUUCCACUUUCCCUCAUCUUCGGAAGGUAAUUUGAUCUCCUUCAACUACUCUAUGUUUAUAGACGUUUCAAGAAUGUGAGCACAUUUGUACAUGUGCAGGUCAAGAAGAUUACCUUCACCAAAAUCUCAUGUCUUUUUCAAGAUUUUCUUGCUUGCGCUUCUCGGGUAAUUAUCAUAUACUCCUAGAGUUACUUCAAGAUUUUUCUUUUUCGGUUUUUUAACUUGGAGGAAACAGGUUCAUGUCGAUGCUAGCUGGUUGCAAAGGAGUAGAAUAUAGUUCUCCUACUCUAGCCACUGCUAUUGGUACCCUCACGCCAGCUUUCACUUUCACGCUCGCCGUUAUCUUCAGGUUCCACCUCCUUCUCUUUCGAUUCUGUUUAGGGAAAGUAACCGAGACUGCUUAAUUAAACAAUGGGGUGGCGAUUCGACAUUUCUUUAACAGUACAAAAUCUCAAGCCUUUUGAUUCUGUGGAAUGACCAAGAUAUGUUUUGAGAUCACAGUCUCUACUUCUUUUGGUCUGUGAGUAAGUAGUUUGGUACCAAUCAAAACCAUAACAAACGGAAAAGGUCACAGCCACAUAGUACAAGCACAAUCUUGCCAUUUCUUUCUAAUAGAUAUUGAAUGGACUUGAGGUGUGUUUGUUACUAUCAUCCAAUCAUUUAACUCUGAACUGAUUCUGUUUCAUUUGGUGACUUGUUAAGGAUUGAACAAGUAGUGUUAAGGAGCUCUGCGACUCAAGCUAAACUCAUUGGUACAAUAGUAUCUAUAUCUGGUGCUCUGGUUAUUGUUCUUUAUAAAGGCCCAAAAGUUCUAGCUGCUGCAUCUAUCACACCUUCAUCAUCUACCAUCUCGCUUUACCAGCAUUUGACUUUAUCUGAUUCAAGUUGGAUACUCGGAGGGCUUUUGGUUGCUUCACAGUAUCUUCUUAUUUCAGUUUGGUAUAUUCUUCAGGUAUGAAAAAAAAGACUAUGGAUUUGUUGGUGAUACAUAAAAGCCUUGCUGAAUGUGGCAGCUCUAUACUGAUUUCAGACUCAGGUGAUGGCGGUAUACCCUGAAGAAAUAACAGUAGUCUUCUUGUACAGCUUAUGCGCAACACUAAUCUCAGCACCAGUAUGUCUACUUGCAGAAAAAGACUUGACUUCAUUUCUGCUUAAACCAAGUGUCUCCCUCGCUUCAGUGAUGUACACAGUGAGAAUCAAAGCUUAUAUGUUGAAGUAAUGACUAUACUUAAAGCUCAAAAAAAAUUAUACUCUGUUUCAGGGAGGCUUAGUGUCAACAUUGGGCUCAGUUAUACACACAUGGGGUCUGCAUCUGAAGGGUCCAGUCUAUAUAUCUUUGUUCAAGCCCUUGUCUAUUGUCAUUGCCGUUGCAAUGGAGGCUAUAUUCCUCGGCGAUGCACUUCACCUUGGAAGGUAACAUAUCUUUCACCUUCUUCCUUUAUAGCCCACCCACAGAUUUGAUCUUAUAUAAACAUACCAUACAGCUCUAAGUAACUGAAAGAGUUACGAGAUCCAUGGAAUCACACUUAGCUUCCAUAUAUAGUUACUUUAAUAUGUUUUUGAAUGUACAGUAAUAUAGAUUUCCCCAUAUAUGUGUUGUGGGCAGUGUCAUCGGAUCAGUGAUUUUGAGCUUAGGAUUCUACACUGUGAUUUGGGGCAAAGCAAGAGAGGAUUCAACCAGAAAUGUGGCUGGUUCUGAGCAGUCACCUUUGUUGCUUACCCACACCAUUGAAGAUGAAGCCUCAUCAUAAAGAUAUGACUGAUGCAAAGUGGAACCCUCUAAUAUAAUGGGUUAAUAAAUAUGGAGCCAUUAAGAUAUGGUCCUCAUUAAUGUUUACGUGCUACCUAUAUAUUGUUCUAUCUCUUAUCUUGUUAUAUUAGAAGGGCUAAAUAAGAACGAAAUUGUCUUAACUACUGAUAUUGCCAUAUUACCUUCAUUUUUCUUGCUUCUGAGCUCAUUUUGUCUAGCGAGAAUUUCUUAAAGUAUGGACAUCAGAAGCUAUGACAAGAGAAGAGACAGUGUGCCAUGGUAGGAUCUAACACACUGGUCAAGAGUGCUACCUUAAAAGCAUUGAACAAGUCCUUUGUUAGUUUCUGCAGGCUCCGUUGAACAAGUUUAUCUUCUGCUGCUGGAGGAAUCCAAGGUCAGUGAUGAUUGGUGUUACUGAAGCGGUAGGGCUAACUUUUGGAUUGAUGAAGAUUGCAGAUUUUUUGGGUUAAAUCACUGAUGAAGAGGAAAUCCAAUAAUCCAUCAAUAUUCCCUUCUGAAUAUGGAUCCUUGUGAUUGCUGGUGGGUUGUUAUCAUUGAUGCUGAUGAAAUUUGGUAUAAGUCUUGAUCAUUGGAAGGGAAUGCUCAAAUGGAAGUUGGAAAUUUCUUUGGUUGAGUGGUUAAGUUUGAAGGUAUUAAAGCUAUAGGGGGCAAAGUUCUUUGUCGUGGGUCCCUAGCAUAUUUGGAUAUGAUCCUUGUGGUGUGAAGUAUUUGAAUGAUUACUUUCCAAUAUUGUUGUCACUGAAAAUGUAUUGGUUCGUACUUAAAUAAUGUAGCAGAAACGUAAUUGGAGUUAAUCACAAAGACCAUGAAUCCGUGAUGAACUCAUUUUAACUUCAGAGACUUUCUGAAGAAUCUGAAUCUAUCAUGAGAGAAACAGUGGCUUGGAGGUACUUUAGCCAAGAUGUUGUACCGUUUUCUGCAAUGAUUGCAGUAGAGUGUACCACGGUUGGAUCAUCUACACUGUUCAAAGCUGCUACCUUGAGAGGAUUAAGUUUUUAUGUCUUUGUCUUUUACUCUUAUGCUGUUGCUACACUUGUCCUAUUUACACUUUCCCUCAUCUCUGGAAGGUACUUCAUCGUCUCAACUACUCUUUGUUCAGUAUAUGCUUUUCUAGAAUAUCAAAUUUACUUUUACAUGUGCAGGUCAAGAAGUUUACCUUCAGCCAAGUCUCCUCUCUUCUUCAAGAUUUUCUUGCUUACGCUUCUCGGGUAAUUAUAUAUUCUUGCUUGGAGAUUUUUGAUUAUUCUUCGGUUUUUUCUUUUCUUGUUUGGUAACUUGGUAAAAACAGGCUCACGUCGAAGAUAGCUGGUUGUAAAGGUAUAGAAUAUAGUUCACCAACACUGUCUUCAGCUAUCAGCAACCUCACACCAGCUUUCACCUUCGUUCUUGCCGUCUUCUUCAGGUUCUUCUCUUUUCUUUCUGUCACUAUAAGGUUUUGUUUGUUACUAGAUCAAUCUUAUUCAUCUAAGUUUUUUUGCUUCAUUUGGUGACUUGUAAAGGAUGGAACAAGUAAUGUUAAGAAGCUCUGCAACUCAGGCUAAAAUCAUUGGCACCAUAGUAUCCAUAUCCGGUGCUCUGGUUGUUGUUCUUUAUAAAGGCCCAAAACUUCUUGUUUCUGCUGCAUCUUUUACUUCAUUUGAGUCAAGUUGGAUCAUUGGAGGCCUUUUUCUCGCUUCACAAUAUUUGCUUCUUUCAGUCUGGUAUAUUCUUCAGGUAGUGUGCAUAAAACUUAAACAGAUUCGAGAAAGAGAUUUUGGUUUUGUUGGUAACGCAUAAACAUGAUUUCAGACUCAGAUCAUGGAGAUUCACCCUGAAGAAAUAAGCGUAGUCCUCUUCUACAACUUCUGUGCAACGCUAAUCUCAGCGUUAGUAUGUCUAUUUGCAGAAAAGGACUUGAAUUCAUGGAAGCUUAAACCAGGAGUUUCCCUUGCUGCAGUCAUAUACUCGGUGAGAAACCAAACCCUUAUAAGUCUGUUCAAGUACUGACUCUUAUCUUAGCUUAAGCUCAGAAGACAACACUCUGUUUCAGGGAUUUUUUGAUACAUCAUUAGGAUCAGUUAUCCACACAUGGGGUCUGCAUUUGAAGGGUCCGGUCUACGUAUCCUUGUUCAAGCCGUUGUCUAUUGCAAUUGCAGUCGCCAUGGCUGCUAUAUUCCUCGGCGAUGAACUUCACCUUGGGAGGUACCAUAUCUUUCAUCUUCUUAGUUUCAACUAUAGUGUCUCUUUCUUGAAACUUUAAGGGAUAAAAGCUUAGUUUUAGGUCAUUGCAAUAUUUAAUUUCAUCUUUAAUGCUUCACUCAAGAACUAAUGAAUUUCUUUGAAAUAUGUAGCAGUAAUAAGCUAUGUAGAUUUUAGAUUGUUGAGUAAUAAUAUUUAGAGAUUAGUAUAUAUAAACUUGCAUCUAUGUGUUGUGGGCAGUGUGAUUGGAUCAGUUAUAUUGAGCUUUGGCUUUUAUACUGUGAUUUGGGGCAAAGCAAGAGAAGAUGCAACUAAAAUAGUAAGUGAUUCUGAGCAGUCACUUUUGUUGCCUUCACAGAACAGAGAAGAUGAAACCUUACCAUGAAAAAGUGUUGGAUACAAGUGAAAUCAUUAUUUUGUAUAUAUAGUCUUCAUAUUAGUCAACAUCCUGUAAAUAUAUAUAUCUACAAUACAAGAUUUUCUGUUUCUUCUUGUAUUAUUUAGAAGGUAAACCAGAAUUUGGUUCUAUCUCAGUUUGUUGGAUUCAUUCAUUGAUUGUGUACCCAUCAGUGGUCCCAUUGAUUGUGUACCCAUUUAACAAUGGUCCAUAUUUAUCUUGUGAUAUGUAUGUCUAUUUACGUCACAUGUUAUAAGUUUUGUAAUUUAUUGUUUAUCUACAAAACGUAUACAUAUACUCAAUACAAAAACACAAACAAAAAAAAAUAUUAUUUUCAUGAAGUUUUUUUGUUUAAUUUUAUGAACUCAACUCUGAAACAACCCAUAAACCUUUCAGUUUCAAACUAAUAAACAGAAGAAAAACAUACAAAAAGAAGUUGUUCGCUUCAAAUUCUGUGAUGCCAAACAUUUUCUCCGGUAAAACUCAAGUUAUACUACACAAUGAGAAUCAAACUUUUUUCCGCUGAUUAAUCCUCUAUCUUGGAAGUUGGAAUUGAUAUGAUAAAAAAGAAAUGUUACCUUUACAACACCAAUAUUGAUUAUUGAGAAACCAAUUACAUUUGACAAAUCAUAAUUUUUUACUCUAGAUUUGAAAUAUUUUACUUUAUUUUUAGUUUCUUCUUAUAAGUUUUCGAAAAACAACAUUAAACACAAUGCCCAUGAAACCUAGUCAUGUGUUAUUGGUAGAUAUUCACAAAAAAAAAGUGAAAAUUCCUCAGACUAACCUCUAAGGUUAAUGAAAUGACAAACCUAACCUAACAUAUUGAAGGGCUUACUAGACUAACCUUAUAAAGUUGGUUUAAAUCCAUUUUAUCCAGAUGUUGAAUAUUAUUACGAAAAUGCCAUUAUGAUUUUUUUUUUUAAAUUUUUUUUUUUCGAAAAAACUUUAAUUUCGAAAAAAACUUUUUAAAAAAUGGAAAUUUUUUUUGACAAAAAAAAACAUUUUUUAAAACGAAAACAGCAAAAAAAAAAAACCAAAAACUAAAAAAAAAACCCUAAUUCAUCUUCUUCUCUCUCUCUUUCUUCUGCGCCGUUUUUUUUCUCCCAUGGAGCUGCUCUUCUUCAUAACUUGGCAGCCUCCCUUUUUUCGCAGCUUUCUCUUCACAGCUUUCCUUUUGUUUCACAGAUCUACACAGAUCUUGCCUCAAUCGCCGUUCAGAAACUUGUUCAGGUUUGUUUUUUUUCUCAUAUAUCCUCAUUUUUCUUAUUUUUUCUUCUUUCUUCUUCGUCUUCCUCUUUCCCUUCGUCUUCUACUUUCUGUUUGGCGGAGGAGGAGUUUUACUGUUGGUGUUAGAGAUCUCGGAAAUAUUGGCACGACUCUUAAGCGGCAUUCUCGCCGCAUCGCACACAACCGCACUGGACAGAUGUUGUUUUGAAGAAAUGGUGGUGUCCCGGAGGUUGACGGCGGCGUAAGUUUUUUUCUGUAAAACCCGCAACCCUAAUUUUUUUUGUUUCAGGUAAGUUUGGUAGAUAUAUUUGGAAAACGAUAAGUAGUUUGGUAGAUUUAUUGUAUUUUUUUGUUGUAAAGUUCAUAAUAUGUGAUGGUAUAUUUUUUUUGAAAAACGAUAUGUAGUUUGGUAGAUUAUUAGUUAUUUGAUGGUAGAUAUUUAGAAAACGAAAUAUGGUUUGGUAGAUUUAUUAGUUAUUUGAUGGUAAAAUUAUUUUAGAGUAAAAACGAUGUCAUUUGGUAGAUUUAUUAGUUAUCUAAUGAUAGACUUAUUUGUAAAACGAUGUGGUUUGGUAGAUUUAUUAGUCAUUUAAUGAUAACUUAUUUGAAAAAUGAUUUGUGUUUGGUAGAUUUAUUAGUUAUUUAUGGUAGAUUUAUCAGUCGUAUAUAUUUGAAUUUUAUAUACGAAUGACAGUAUUUGUUUAUUUUUCUCUGACAGAUUAUGGGGUUUGCCAUGGUGAACAAAUCUUUGAUGGGAUAUCCAGCAUCGAUCCGACAUGUUUUACUAUGAAUUGUAGAUUUGCAUUUGGUAGAUUUGUUUUGAAAUAAUGGUAGAUUUAUUAUUAAAUUGAUGGUAUAUCUGUAUUUUGAAUUUGUAAAAAUGAUAAUUAGAUUUUAAAUGAUAAUAUUGUUGUUUUCAAAUUAUAUUUGUCGUAAAACAUUGACCCAGACAUUUUCACAUUUUUACCAUAUUUGCUAGUAAUGUUAUUAUUCAAUUUAAUUUAUUUCUUUACUUUCACUAUGAUGUAUAGCAUAACUGAAUAAAAUUUUAAUCAAAACACAUGACUAAAAUCAUUUGACAUUGUGAUGUUGUAAGAGUUUAUGUAAAUAGAGUUAAAUGUAACAAAUAUUCAAAAAUAAAAAUAAAAAAAUCAUAAGUUAAGAGAUGGUUAUUACAGAUAUGACAUAUAUGUUCAAAGUUAAUAUGAAAAGCAAAGUUAUCUUAGAGAAAAUAUAUAUCAUAGAAAAAAUAUUCAUGUUAAAAAUUGUUGACCAUUGAUUAUGGCAUCUAUAUCGUAAAUACCAAUAAUCAUCUGUGAUCGAAUCACAGUUAACCGACAUAAUCUUGGCAAACUCAUGCAAAGAAAACGUUAAUGGUAACAAAACCAACUCAAAUAUAACCAUGGAACAAGUCUACCAUAUGUACGAAACUUGUUUAACAUACGACACUUCAAAACAAGUCUACCACACCUCUGGUUUUUUCGUAGAUAGGACAAUACUUUUAGGACAAAAAAGUAAUUUCAAUCCAUAAAGUCAAAUCUCUGCCAAACAUUAACAACUAAGUCUACCUCAAGCAUGAAAAAUAACUCUACCAUAUAUACAAGUCUACCAUAAGCACCUCAUAUGUCUACCAGAUCGAGGUUAUCUUUGUAAAUACCAAACUUAAUUAAUCUACCACAUGGUUAUUAUAAGAAGUCUACCAUACGUACGAUAACUCUACCAGAUUACAUAAACUCUACCAAACAAACAAACAUAUCUACCAAUAUUUUGUAAGUCUACCUCAUGUAACAAAUAAUCUACCACUCACCGGAAUAAAUUUUACUUAAAUUUAAAUCUACCACAAAACAAACAUAUCUACCACAAAACAAAUAAAUCUACCAACAUUCUGUAAGUCUACUUCAUGUAACAAAUAAUCUACCACUCACUGGAAUGAAUUUUACUUGAAUUUAAAUCUACCACAAAAGCGAAAAAUCUACCAACAAGAUAUAACUCUACCAUAAAACAGAUAUAUCUACCAUCACGUAUUGACACAUAAAUCUACUACCAAAGGACAUAAGUCUACCAACUCAGAAAAUAAAUCUACUUCAUCGUCAAUAAAUCUACCGAGAAAGUUGCGAGAAAGUCAACGCUUUCUUUAACAAGUCUACCAACACCUUUGACAAGUCUACCAUUCAUAACAACAAAUCUACCGAAACAUAAUAAAUCUACUUCUCAUCGUCAAAACUCUACCAAGAUAAUUCUACCAACAUUUGUAAACUCUACCAACUCUCAAAUAAAUCUACCAUCGACCUAAUAACUCUACCGACAAAAUUUUUGCGUUGACCAAAAUUUGAUAAGUCUACCGUCAAAACCUGGUAGACUUAUCAAAUUUUCAGCGCUAUAAUCUGCCUACGUGGCAUUAAAAAAGUAAUGGCAUUUUUGUAAUUAAAUUUUUUUUAACAAAGGCAAAAAGGGUGUUUUGAGUAUGCUAGGUUAGUUUUGUAAAAAAAAUAAAAAUGCAUCAAACAAAUAAUAUAGAUACUUUCUAAGGUUAGUAUAAUAAUCCUAAAAAAAAAAUAUACAGUACAUGAUGUUUAUGUGAUGGAGAUGCUUCACCGGUCUUUUCCCAUCACGACCCCAACAAUUAAAAAGACAAAAAUUAUACACAUAUAUAUAUAUAUUUAGAGAGAGAGAGCAAACAAAAAUAAAAGAAGCCAAGAACUGAAAAUGGCUCCGGGAAGAAUAUGCAGCAGAGACAGCUUGAUCUUGACGGCGAUGGUGUUAACCGAGUUUUCCAACGUCGGAGUAAACACUCUGGUCAAAUCAGUGACUUCCAAAGGACUUAGCCCAUUUGUGGUUCUCGUCUACUCUUACACUUUUGGAUCUCUUCUUCUUCUUCCUCUUGCCUUCUUCUCCUUCAGGUUUUCUUCAUUCUUACUUACCACUCUGUGUUCCAAAAUUUUGGUAAGAACUUGCUCUUAGAUAUAGCUUCAUCUCUACAGAUCAAGAUCUCUUCCUCCGUUGACUUCUUCAAUACUUUGCAAAAUGGGACUUCUUGGUCUAGUUACGUAAGUACUUUUUUUUUUCUUGAUAACAAUAUAACUAAUAACAUAUGAAUCCAUAUAUCUUCCUAAGUUUCAAAAAAACAUUAUUCAUAGAUUCUUGAAUUACAUAUAUAUUUAGAUUUUUAUUAAAGUUUUCAGUGAUUUUGAGUUGCAUAUACACUCUUUUAUUAUGAUUUAUCGAAAAUGAUCAAACACUCCCCAAAUAAUUAUUAUAAGUAAAUUUUUGAAAAAGUUUUUUUUUUGGGAGUGUUUGAUCAUUUUAAUAUAUCAUAAUAAUAAAAUGCAUCAUACUAAUUAAUGCAACAUCUAAUUAGAUUAAAUUUCUUUCAUUUUGAAAUGAAGUUUUAUAAGUACCGUUUAACAGAAUUAGAAAAAAAAAAACUCAUUUACUUCACUUCCAUGACCCUAAAUCAGUCAGAUUCUUUUUUUCUGAACAUUUUCAAAUUCAUUUUCUUUGUUCAUGACAGUAAUUACUUUUAUUUUUGUAUUUUUCCAAAAAAAAAAAAAAACAGGAGUGCAUUCCAAAUUGCAGGGUACAAUGGAAUAAAAUACAGCUCGCCUACUUUAUCGUCGGCAAUGAGCAAUGUCAAUCCUGCGUUUACCUUCAUCCUCGCCGUUAUUUUCCGGUAAUGAAUGUGUUUCCCAAAUAGUUGAUUAGUUGAAAUCAUAUAUUUAGCUUCUUAAAACUUUUAUUUGCUUUCACUUUAUAAGAUUGCUUGCGUUUUAAGGGAUCCAACCGUAUACUUGGAGUUAUUAAUGUGUUAGUUGGAAAAAGGAGAAGAAACAAAUUUCUGUUGAUGAAAAGAAACUAGAUCCUCUAUUAUUUUUGAGUCUCACAUAUGUCCACAUAACUUACGGGUCCACGGGAAUUGUUUUGGUUUCUUAGAUUAAUUUUAAUAUUAUAACAACUUAACAAAUGUGUAGCCACGGGAAUUAUAACAAACUAAGUUGACACUAAAAAACAAUUGUACACAUUUUUUUAAGUAUCAACUUAGUUUGUUAUUAACAAACUAAGUUGAUGAAUUUUUUAAGUCCAGAACGGAGCCGGAUUUCCAAAUUUUUCAAGGUAUCUGAAUCCAGAUUCGGAUCCGUCAGAUAAUUAAUUUUACUAUCGAAUCUGGAUCCGAAAACUUUGGAUAUCCGGUUUGAACCAAAUAUUUACGGAUAUCUGACCGGAUAUCCGAUUUCAUUGAUUUUUAAAAUUAUAAUGAAAUAACAUAGAUAAUUAAAAUGUAUCAUUAUAACAAAAAUUACAAAUAGCAAAAAAUUAUAAAAACAUUCAAAUAGCACAAAAUUAAAAAAUUUACAUAGCAAAAGAGAAAAUAAUUAUAGAGAAGUUAAUUUAUUUUCAUGUCUAUGUGUUAUCCAUUUUCAUGUUUUUUUCUUACAAUCUGAAAAAGAAAAUUAUCAUAUAAUAUGAAUUUCAAUCAUAUGUAAAGAAGUUAUAUAAAAAAUAAUUUUCAAACAUAAUUAAAACAAAAAAUGAAUGCAUGUCCAAAGAUUUCUAAACGAUUCUUACCUCAUCCAAACUUCACACUCAAAAAUAAUUAUUAUCAAAAAAUAAAUAAAUAUUUAACAAACGGAUAACGGAUAUCCGAUUUCAAAAUUUUCUAUUAUCCGGAUCCGUAUCUAAAAUAACCGAAUACUUAAUUUAACUAUAUAUUUGGAUCCGGAUCCGAAUCCAAUCUACACGGAUAUUCAGUUUUUGCAGAUCGGAUAGGACUGGAUACCGAAUUGGAAACCGGAUACCAGAUAAUAUUUCCAAGACUACUGAAAAGUGAAAACGUGUGGAAAGCAAAUGCUUUUUUUAAAUCCAGACUCAACGUCAACGCAUAGCCCUCUAAGUUUCGCCACAUUAACCACUAAUUAAUCUUAAACUUUUAAUAUAGUCCUAUUUAUUCAUCAACUUAGUUUGUAAUAAGAUAUUAAAGCUGACUUUUAGUUUUGAAUGUUGUUGGUAUGAGGCGUAACGAAUUACACGGUGAAGUCACUAGACCACUUGUAGUUUGAUAAUCUUCACAGUUUUUUUUUUUUUUUUGGAUAACUAAGAAGUUCUGGGUUAAGGUUUGUACAAUAUCUUUUUAGGCUUGGGCCACUUUUUAAUAAUUUAUUCGUUCCAGCUGCCACUCGAUCAUGUGACCUCUUGAAUUACUCCAUAGUACCUUUAACCUUCACAGUUUCAAUAUUAACAUUAAAACAAGAAAAUAAAAUGAAUAUAUAUAAGAAUACUUUUAACGUUUAUUAACUUACACCUUUUGGUGUAGAAUGGAGAAAAUAUCUAUAAGAAAAGAGAGUAGUGUAGCCAAAGUGUUGGGAACAAUAGUGUCUAUAAUUGGUGCACUUGUGGUUACUCUCUACCACGGUCCAAUGCUUAUGUCUUCACAUUCCGAUUGGGUGAUUGGAGGUGGCCUUCUUGCUCUCCAAUACAUCCUUGUCUCCAUAUCUUACCUUGUUAUGGUACAUACUUUAUAUGACUUCAGAAUACAAAUAGAAUCCAUAAAAUAUAUUAUAUGUUAACGUGAAACUCGGGUAUUUAUAGGCACACACAAUGAGUCGAUAUCCAUCUGCGGUCGUUGUAACGCUCGUGCACAAUGUUUUCAUCCUUGUUGUGUGUGCAUUCGUUAGUCUUUUGGUAGAGAAAGAUGACUCGAAGGCAUGGAUCAUUAGAUUUGACAUAACCUUGACUAGCGUUGUAGCAACGGUAAGUUUUACAUAAAUAUGUGUAAUAAUCUCUAUUUGGUUUUACAUGUUUGUUGAUUUACUCGUUUUUUCUUUGCCUUUAUGAUAUAUACACAGGGGGUUUUGAAUUCGGGAUACUAUAUUAUACAUACGUGGGCCGUGAGUCACAAGGGACCGGUGUAUUUGUCAAUGUUCAAACCGUUAUCUAUAUUGAUCGCAGCCGCAUCAACCACCAUUUUCCUCAGCGAGUCGAUCUACCUUGGACUGUAUAACAAACAACUUUUUUUGCUUCUAUUUGUCUUCUCGUUAUGUUUUUAAUCUCAUUAUGCUAAUCUCCUCUCUCAAAUUUCAUGUUAUGUUUUGGAUACACAGUUUGAUAGGAGGAAUAUUGAUAUCAGUAGGAUUUUACAUGGUCUUGUGGGGGAAAGCCAAGGAAGACAAAGUGGACAUAUUAGUAACCGCCAUAGAGUCGUCUCCUUCACAUAAAGCCCCUCUCUUGGGUAACUAAAAGCUAAUAACUAUAUGUAUUCUUUAUACAAACAGAGAUUAUUAUUUUUAACUAAAACAACAAAGCAUACUCCUACUAUCUCCAUUUUUCUAUCUUCUUCUUUCCUUAGAUAUUGCAUUCGAUUAGUCCUGUAAAAUAAGAAUAUGUAUACAAAAAAAUAUUGACCAUUUGGUUUGGUGAUCACUGAUUUGGUUCUAAAUUUAUAGUUCUUUGAAUUAGCCGUUUAUUCGUAAGUCGAUUAAUUUGUGCUGUUUUGUCAGAGUGACUCUUGUCGUAUGUGUACGUGGGUUUGGAAAACUCAUACUAAAAAGACUUGAUUAGAUUGCUAAAUUGCAAAGAAAGAUUAUAACAUAUUAACUAUCUUUUCUUGACGAUAGAGAGUACAUUUGUAUGCAUAUCUCUUCUUUUUCACAUGUUAAAUAUUCACAUAGUCCACCAAAGCAUAUGGAGCAAAAGUAUAUUCAACAGUAGUAUAUAAUAGCAAAUAACACAAUAGUCAAAAGUUUCUUGGCACACAAUAUAGUGAAUAAUUUGACUUUGGCAACUGUCUUAUAUAGCAGAAAUCGUUUUGUGUAUUUAAUUUCUUUGUGGCUUAGACCUUUUCCUUUACCUCUAGAUUAUAUAUCCUUGAGUAGGAGAAGAUUGCUCCAUUUGUAUGUGACUUACUUUGACCAUUUUACUGCUGUUUCAUUGAGAAUACUCUAUGGUAAAUGGUUUACAAAUUUGAUCAGUUCCCUCUGUUUCCCUUAUCGCCCAAAGCAAUAUAGGACGCUGGAUUUAACAAAAUGAUACUCUUCCUAUCUUUCUCAAAGGCGGACCUUUCUUUCUUUCGAUCUCGUUGGAGUUGUUUAUAAGGCAGAAAGUUAACACACCAUGAUUAAUAAAAUGUAGGGACGACUUCUACUUGAUGGUAUCUCACCAGCUUUCACAGAUCACUUUGUAAUAUAUAUCUCAGAAACUUGUCCAUUUUUCUUCUAAAUUCCUCAUUUUGAAGCUUGGCCGAUUGUUUAUUAGGUAUUACUCCUCUAAUUUUUCUUAUUUAACUUCUUGGUUUUCCAUGUAAAGAUGUCCUAGCCAAGGCCAAAACAGGCACUGGGAAAACCGUUGCAUUAUUGUGUGGUGGUGUACCUUACAUAUACCUGCUUUCUUUCAUGAAAGACAUGUGUCUGAUUUCCUUGGCAAACUUUCCGGUGUUUCCUUGAGCUGUAGCAAGAUAAUCAUUAACUAACUACUUUAGUUAUACUGUAGCAUGUUGAAUCCAAAACUAAAGAAUUAAGAAAAUUUCCACUAGAUUUCCACUAGAUUAUACAGAAUUAAGAAAAUUUCCACUAGAUUAUACUCUCUUCGGUUAUAGAUAAGCACAGAACUCAUAACAGUUGCCAAAACACUCAUAUUUCUAUACAAGUAAAUAUUACUCAAGAACCAUAACCAAACCAAAGAAACAUAGAGGCAGGAGAACUUACGAUCAGUUUCCAGACCCAAACACUUCAAGGAAUUUUAUAGACAAUAGGGUUAUAAUCAGCAAAUUGCACUAUCAUCGAUCAAAUACAAAAAUAGAUAUGAAAAAAUAUGGAGAAAACAUUUAACUCUGCAGCAAAUUUGCAUUGUUUAUCUACCCAAAAAAAAAACACAUUACCAGAUAGAGGCAAACACAUAGUCUAAGAAAGAUGCAACUACAACAAAGUUAUAUGUACUGAGAAAAAGCAUUGUUAAAUAGCAGCUUUUUGAACUACUAUGAUCCAAAGUACACCAAAUGACUUGUCCCAUCUCGUCUACCUUCUUCCACAUGUUUCUCUUUGACAGUGUGACUCAGAAUGAACGAUCAGCGGGCAAUUCACCUUCUUUGCCUUGUUUCAUAAAAGGUAUUUAACCACCAGAAAUCUUUAACAAAAUUGUCACCGAGCAUAGUCAUAUAUAUAUAUAUAUAUAUAUAUAUAUAUAUAUCAUUGAGGAGUUUAACUGCCUCAGGAUUCUACUACUACCAAAGAUGGACUGAAGAAAGACAACAAGUAUUUACAACUAUUGAUAACCGUACUCGAUUUCAAUAUUUUAGCUAUUAAUAGUUUCCAGUAAAUAUUCAUGACAAUAAAUUAUGUCGAAUGUGACCAUUCUAAUGUCAAACGAACCAAUAAAUCUCUUCUAAUUCAUCAUAUUAGUCGAUCAAUCUUAAUGAUCACUUUGAUGUUCAUAAGAUUAUUUAUAUAGCACCUUAGUGUUUCAUAAUUCUCAAAAUGUGCGUGAUAUGUGCACAAUUUUUUUGUCACCCUUUUGUGUGGAUCGAAUUCAUAAGUUACUAUGCAACAUUUACCAACUUGUUUCGAUUUUAAAAAUGUUUUAUUUAACAACAGGUUUCAUUUAAAUUUACAGUUACUUUUAAUUUUUCAAUAAAUUAGUGUCUUCGUUGUUUAAAAUGUUGAAACAAAAAACUACCGUAAAAACUUAACUUGCGCAAUACAUUCAAUGUGGUUUAAAUUUGAUUCUAAAAACAUGUGCACAAUUAUUUUCAGCUGUGUUGUUUCAACUGCGACCAUGUUUCUGUAACAUAUCAAAUCUCCUUUGUUGAGUUUGGAAAUUGAUCAUUUGGAGACUUUUGGUAUAGAAAAACUUGCAGGCAACUGAUCUCAACUGCAUAUUUUUAUUUAUUUUGGAGUAACUCCAAAAUGGAGUUGGGUUUUACUCCAAUGUAAACUCCAUUUUUUCCUUCAAAAUAGAAUUAUGACCAAAAAAUAUAAAAAUUCUAUUGUUUGCUCCAUAUUUAGAGUAACUCUAUUUUUUACUCCAUUUUGGAGUGAGAAUUGGAGUAGCUAGGGUUGGAGAUAAUCUUGCUGCAAACUCUAUUUUGCAGUAAAAUUUGGAGUAGGAUUGGAGAUGGUCUAAGACGCAAUAGAAGUAAUAAUAUGUAUAUAUAUAUAUAUUUAAAAAAUGUGAUUAAAAAAAUCAUAAAGUAAGAUUAACUGUAACUGUAACUUUAAACCACACCAUACAUACCAUUUCAAUUACGCUAAUUUCAGAUUUCUUAAAUCUUAGUUUUUAUUUCUGUCCCAAACAUUCAAAGUAUCCAAGAUUCAAAAUUGAUUACGAUUGCUAUACAAGACCCUUUACUCUCUCUAGGGUUUCCGCGCAGGGUAAAAUCAAUGGCUGGUCGUAGUUCAAACGAGAAGACAAUCGAACUCCCCUCUGAUUUGAUCAUGGACAUUUUUGCGAGGGUUCCGGUUAAGGACAUGGUCCGGUUCAGAUAUGUCUGCAAAAGAUGGGAUUACUGCUUGGAGCCAAGAACUUCAUCAACAAGCAAAUGACUUACGGCCCAAUAAAGCUUCUUGGGUUGCAAGACAAUGGGGAGUUUCCUCCUCGUAGCAUCCUUUACGAACAAGGAAGCAACGGUAAACCCAAAAUGACAAUCGAAGAAGCUGAUCUAACUUGCGGUGACAAAUCUUUGGUCGACUUAGACGUGAUCGGUCAUUGCGAUGGACUGUUCUGUCUCCAGCUCCAAUACAGAACUUUAUCUUUUUGGAAUCCGUUGCUGAGACAAGUAAGAAAGGUAUCAUCAAAAUCUACUAAGCCAAUAAUUUCUCAUGACUUGAUAGUUUUCGGUUAUGAUCAUUCGAUUGAUGAUUACAAGAUUGUGAUCUUCUCGGCAAUAUAUGUAUAUAUAUAUAUAUAUAUAUCUGAAACCAUAAUGGCUCCAAAAAUACUGGUCUCGAGGCAAAAUCUUCAAGUCUUUUCCUAGAAAUAUCAAAGGAUUGAUCCGAGGUUUAGUUGCAGUACGAGGAUGUCUAGGGUUUGUGGAUAUGUGCAUUUUCCAAUUCAUGACAAAGAUAGUUGUGAAUAUGACAAAGUAUGGUUUUGAUUGCUUUAUAGGGUCCCAGAGAAACGACGUGGAAAGUGUAAAACCUAAAAUACUAAACACUACGAAAUAACAAUUGAAAUACGAGUUUUAAAACUAAACGUUAAAGAAAAUAUAAACGAAUGGAGGCGAGAGUAUGAUCUCUUUCCUUAACUCUUUGAAUUGCCCGUAGUGCGACGGGUUUCUGGAAUUCAAGAGUCGCAGGAUACAACCAAACUUAUCCACUAAGAAAGACGGAUCUAAACAAACUAUAAUUCUACUAUACUCUCGGUAGAAGACUUACAAAAAAUAAAGGAGAGAGAGAGAGAGACUGUUGAGAGAAUUUCUGAGAGAAAAAAUGAGAGGUGUUUUUUUUUUAUAAAAAAUGAGAGAAAAGUCGUGUAUAUAUAGCGGAGGAAGAGACUUGAGCAGUCUAAAAAAAUCACAAGAAAUCCGCUAGCCAACACGAAUCUCGGCCAUAAAUUUAGCGUAGUCAAAGGCGAGAAAUCAGCAAUCUGUGAUUAAUCACAAUCUGAUACGUUUUUGAAGGGAUAAUGAAUAUCCAAUAUUCUCUUUGACUGAAUCAAAAACAUAUGCAGAAAGUCAACAUAAAACGUUGACCAAAACGCCCAUAAAAAUAUGGCCCAAAAAGAAUACUCGCCUUAGGCCCGAAGGCCCAUUCGACCAAUACGACCCGCGCCCGUGCCCGGCCCGGCCCGGCCCGGCUUGGCUUGGCUUGGCGGCGGCGGUGCGCGCUUGGGGCUUAUUCUUUUCUCUCUCACAUGUUUUGAACAUGUAUAAAGCAUAUCUUAAUAUAUACUACAGAUUCUCCCACUAAUCCACCGAUGUGGGACAAAACCACUUACAACACACUUCAUUUCAUCUUCACCCUUAAUGGGUUCAAUAAUUUCGACCCAACAGUCCCCCACAUGAAGAGAAAUGACUCUAAACACAUGAAGACUCAAUUGACUCGAUAAAACUUAACUCGACUAGACUAGACACAACUCUGACUAGGCUAGACAGACUUCCGAGAGUAUGCGAAAAUGCAACUGUAUCUGAUAGGUGGCAUUUUUCAGCUUUGAACCAAUCAUUUUUAAUAUCUGUCGGGCUUACUUGGCCAGGAGGUGUACAUGAUGUCUUGAACCACCCAGACUUUGAUGUAAACCGAGACAACAGUUAUCGCGCAGCAACAUUUUCUCGUAGGACUUGAGUUCUCUAUUGUGUUCAUUUUGGCCUUGAACAUUCCUGGUUUCAUGAGUGAACUUGGAGAAUAUAGCCUUCCUUUCAUUCUCCUAGAAACGGUCCCAUUUCACACUCAUUAGGUGAUCUGCCAUUAGUUUCGUUUUUUAAGAAAUAACCUGUAAUACUUCACGAAUAUCUCAAAACUAUGGAAUCAUUAAAAGCUACAGCUUAGCCUUAACACUCACAGGUAGCACUGUUUAUCAUCUUAGGAACUGGGAACGAACAUAGUUUCACAGUGCUCACUUCUGAAUCUGCUUGAUUUCAUUUUCCCUUUGAACCUAGAUCUUGGGAUCUCCAGUCACAUAGGUGGGGUUACCAUCAUGCGUCACUUUUAUCUAUAGGCUUUAAACCCAUUCCUCUUGAUGAUUUAACAACUUGAUCUCGUGCCAGACUUUUCGUAAAAGGGUCUGCUAAGUUUUCAGCUGAUUUGAUGUAAUCUAUCGUUAGUACACCGGUCGAGAUCAAAUGUCUAAUGGUUUUGUGUCGUCUUCUAAUAUGACGAGAUUUACCAUUAUAAAGCUUAUUCAGUGCCCGAGAUAUAGCCGACUGGCUAUCACAAUGUACACGUAAUGCGGGCACUGGCUUUUCCCACAUAGGGAUAUCUUCCAAAAAAUUCCGAAGCCACUCUGCUUCCUCUGCGGCUUUGUCUAGCGCUAUAAACUCAGAUUCCAUGGUUGAUCUGGCCAACAGAGUCUGUUUGGAAGAUUUCUAGGAUAUUGCUGCACCUCCAAGUGUAAAGACAUAUCCACUCGUCAAUUUCGAAUUCUUAGAAUCUGAAAUCUAGUUGACAUCACUAUAGCCUUCUAGGACUGCUGGUUCUUUACCGUAGUGCAACCCAUAACUUUUGGUGUAUCGAAGAUAAUUCAAUAUUCUAGUUAUGGCCUUCCAGUGAUUAUGGCCUGGAUUACUUGUGUAGCGACUAAGUACAUUUACUGAGUGCGCUAAAUCGGGUCUAGUGCAGUUUGUUAAGUACAUAAGACUUCCGAUUACUCUUGCAUAUUCCACUUGUGACACUGAUUCACCCGAAUUUUUCGUCAAGUGAAUAUGAGGGUCAGCUGGAGUUUUUGCAACUCCAUUUGAGUAGUUCUUAAACCGCUCAAGAAUUUUUUCAGCAUAAUGUUAUUGGGACAAGAUUAUUCCAUCCGAGUGUCUUAUAAUUCUACUUCCUAGAAUCACAUCGGCUAAUCCCAUGUCUUUCAUAUCGAACUUGCUACUGAGCAAUUUUUUAGUUCGAUUGAUCAUGUCUUUAUUGCUCCCAAUAAUGAGCAUGUCAUCAACGUAUAAGCAAAGCAAAACAUACCCGUGAGGAGUAUUUUUGAUGUAUAUACAUUUAUCACAUUCGUUAAUGCUGAAACCAUUUGACAUCAUUAUAUUGUCAAAUUUUUCAUGCCAUUGUUUUGGAGCUUGUUUAAGUCCAUACAAUGAUUUAACAAGUCUACAGACUUUGUUUUCUUGUCCUGGGACAACAAACCCUUCAGGUUGUUUCAUGUAAAUUUCCUCUUCUAAUCACCAUUUAGAAAUGCGGUUUUAACAUCCAUUUGAUGAAUUUCUAGAUCUCUCAGUGCUGGAAUUCCGAUCAGCAUUCUGAUUGGAGUUAUUCUCGUUACCGGAGAAUAUGUGUCAAAUAAAUCUAGACCUUCUUUUUGUCUAAAUCCUUGCACUACAAGCCUAGCCUUGUAUUUGUCUAUUGAUCCAUCAGUUUUCAACUUUGUUUUGAAAAUCCAUCUACACCCUAGAGCUUUAAACCCUUGUGGUAGAUCGGUUAUCUCGUAAGUGUGAUUCUGUCUAAUUGAGUCCAUCUCACUAUUGACAGCUUCCUUCCAAAGAGGACCAUCUGGUGUUGACAUUGCUUCUGUAAAGGUUCUUGGUUCAUUUUCAGCUAAGAAAACUACUAAGAACUCAGAACCAAAUGUUUUUUCCUUACGAGUUCUUUUACUCCGUCUAGGUUCUUCUUCUUUUUCCUCGUCAUUAAUAGCAGUGCCCGAAGUGCUUGCUUCAUUUCCAGAAGUAGAGGCAUCUCGUUGAUCACGAGAUCGUUUAUUGCUUUCUCUAUCCUUGCAUGGAAACACAUUCUCAAAGAAUGAAGCAUUUCUUGACUCCAUUAUUGUAUUCACAUGAAUAUCUGGUAUAUCUGAUUUAUGUACCAGAAAUCGAUAGGCACUACUAUUAUGAGCAUAUCCGAUGAAAAUGCAAUCUACCGUUUUAGGUCCAAUUGUGACCUUUUUCGGAGGUGGAGCUGCAACUUUUGCCAGACACCCCCACACUUUUAAGUAUUUAUACAAAGGUACUCUUCCCUUCCAAAGUUCAUACGGGGUUUUUCCCGUAACUUUAUGUGGUAUUUUGUUGAGGAUAUAAUUUGUGGUAAGCAAAGCUUCCCCCCACAUGUUCUAGGGUAACCCAGAUUCCUGCAAGAUUGCAUUCAUCAUUUCUUUUAGAGUUCUAUUUUUUCGUUCUGCAACUCCGUUAGACUCUGGUGAAUAAGGAGCGGUAGUUUGAUGAAUAAUGUCAUGUUCCCUACAGAACGCAUUAAAAGGUUCAUCAUAUUCUCCUCCUCUAUCACUUCGAACUAUUUUAAUAGUUUUAUUAAGUUGGUUUUCCACUUCCAACUUAUAUUCUUUGAAUUUCUCCAAAGCUUCAUUUUUACUGCUUAGUAGAUAUACGUAGCAAUAUCUUGUGCAAUUAUCUAUGAAGGUUACAAAAUACUUCUUUCCACCUCUACUUUGCACAUAUUUGAAGUCACAUAAAUCAGUGUGAAUUAAACUUAGAGGUUCAGUUGUUCUUUCCACAUUAGGUGAUGGUGUUUUAGUGAGUUUAGCUUGAACACAAAUCUCACAUUUCUCUUUACUUAUUUUGUGUUUAGGAAUCAUAUUCAUGUUCAUCAAUCUACUCAUAGUUUUGAAGUUAACAUGUCCUAAGCGUUCAUGCCAUAAAGUAAAAGACUCAGACAAAUAAGCAACUGGUUUCUUAUUCUCAUUAAUCUUCGAGGUGGAAGCCUCGGUUACAACAUCGCUGCGAAUAACAGCUUCAACACACAUCUUAAAGAGACCAUCAGUAACAAACCCUUUCCCCAGAUACAUCCCAUUCUUGGAUAGCACCAGCUUAUCUGCAUCUAACUUAAUGGUAAAUCCAUGCUUACUCAUGAGAGAUCUAGAGAUCAAAUUCUUGCGCAUGUCAGGCACAUGGACCACAUUUGUCAGGGUGAGCUCACGUCCAGAGGUAAGCUUCAGAACAACUUUCCCAUAACCUUCAAUCUUUGAUGUUGCAGAGUUUCCCAUAAAGAGUUUUUCGUCACUCUUAUUCUUGGUGUAGGCAGAAAACAUUGACCUGUCCAAGCAAAUGUGCCUGGUUGCACCAGUAUCGAACCACCAGGUCUUGGGAUGACUCUCAGCAACAUUUGCCUCAGUGAUCAUUGCACACAUGUCUGGAUAGGCCAUAUUUGUUUCAUUCUUCUUUGGAGCCUUUUUGCUGCGACACUCAAAGGAUUUGUGGCCUGUUUUGCCACAAUUGUGACAUAUUCCAGCGAACUUUUGUGAACUUUCACCACCACCAUAUUUCUUCUUUUUAAACUUCUGUGAGUUCUGUGGUGGUACUUUGCCCUUUCCUUUGUCUUGGCGUCCUUUGUUCUGACGUCCUUUGUGUCGGUGUUCCACCACAUUCGCAUUGGGUUCACGAAUUUCCACACCUACUCCGAGAUUCUUUCGGUUUGUUGACUCCAUACGGAGCUUCAUGGUUAGAUCUUCAAGACUCAUCCACUUUUUCUUCAGCUUCAGAUAAUUUUUGAAGAUCGUCCAGUUAGGUGGAAGCUUCUCAAUGAUGCAUGCAACCUGAAAGGUCUCACACAACCUCAUCCCCUCAGCAUGGAUUUCAUGGAGUAGAGUUUGUACUUCUUCCACUUGAUCCAUUAUUGGUCUGGAAUCCACCAUUUUGUAAUCUAGAAAUUUCGCCACAGCAUAUUUCUGAGAUCCAGCAUCUUCCGUGCGGUACUUCUUGUCUAGAGAAUCCCAUAGUUCUUUAGACGUCUCAACAUUGCUAUACACAUUGAAAAGUGCAUCAGCAAGCCGACUCUGAAUGUAUCCUUUGCACAAGAAGUCCCUGUGUUCCCAUGCUAACUUGCUCGCAAGUGCAUAAGCAUCAUCAUUAUCUGAUGAGAGAAUAGAUUUCUCUUCACGGGUGUAUUUUUCCAGCUUUAGUGUGGCCAGAUAGAAGAACAUCUUCUUCCGCCACAUCUUAAAGUUGCUGCCAUCGAAUUUGUCGGGAAGGACAUCUACUGGAGUUACAGCUGGAAUCUGAACCGAUUGAUACUGUCCAGUGACCGCAGUUUGGACAGUAGCAGAGAUCGCAGGUGGGAUAGCCACAGUCACUGAUGGGAAAGUCCCAAACUGGAUCUGUUCAGUCCCAAAAAGGAUCUGUUCAGUCCCAACAGUGGUAGUCUGAUCAACUGGGGAGACAUUGAGAGUUUCGUUUUCCAUUCCUGAAAAGAAACACAAUCCGCAGAUUAUAAAUGAUUUUAAGAAGUAUACAAAAUUUAAAAUAUAAUAUGUAUACUAAUCACACUUUUCAGAGUAGAAACGAAUUUAAGAAAUUCAAUUUUAAAUAUUAAAAUAUUAUAAAUAUCAUAUAAUAUUUUUAUUUAUAAAAAAAUCCAACUGAAAUCGCUAUCAUGUAAGAUCGAUAAGCACCACAACCAUGCGUUUUUUUAUUUCAAACCUCCAAUGAGAGUUCGAUCACAGGUGGGUUACGAUUAGAGAUGGAGAGCAAUAAAAAAAACGUUUAAAGAAAAAUACUCGUAUCCAAUCCGUUCAAUGUUUAUAGAACAAGAACGGAUUCAAAGAGUUAAGAGUGUAGAACCUAAAAUAUUGAACACUACGAAAUAGCAAUUGAAAUACGAGUUUUAAAAAUAAACGUUAAAGAAAAUAUAAACGAAUGGAGGCGAGAGUAUGAUCUCUUUCCUUAACUCUUUGAAUUGCCCGUAGUGCGACGGGUUUCUGGAAUUCAAGAGUCGCAGGAUACAACCAAACUUAUCCGUUUUCAACAGCACUAAGAAACACAGAUCUAAACGAACUAUAAUUCUACUAUACUCUCGGUGGAAGACUUACAAAAAAUAAAGGAGAGAGAGACACUUGAGAGAAUUUCUGAGAGAAAAAAUGAGAGGUGUUUUUUUUAUAAAAAAUGAGAGAAAAGUCGUGUAUAUAUAGCGGAGGAAGAGACUUGAGCAGUCUCAAAAAAUCCCAAGAAAUCCGCUAGCUAACACGAACUUCGGCCAUAAAUUUAACGUAGUCAAAGGCGAGAAAUCAACAAUCUGUGAUUAAUCACAAUCUGAUACGUUUUUGAAGGAAUAAUGAAUAUCCAAUAUUCUCUUUGACUGAAUCAAAAACAUAUGCAAAAAAUCAACAUAAAACGUUGACCAAAACGCCCAUAAAAAUAUGGCCCAAAAAGAAUACUCGCCUUAGGCCCAUUCGACCAACACGACCCGUGACCGGCCUGGCUUGGCUUGGCGGCGGCAGCGGCGUGCAUGGGGCUUAUUCUUUUCUCUCUCACAUGUUUUGAACAUGUAUAAAGCAUAUCUUAAUAUAUACUACAGAUUUUCCCACUAAUCCACCGAUGUGAGAUAAAACCACUUACAACAUACUUCAUUUCAUCUUCAUCCUUAAUAGAUUCAAUAAUUUCGGCCCAACAGAAAGAACACAGAAGAUGCAAACUAACUAAUUAUGAAAAAGAUAUCGAUGUCAAAAGGCAAAAAAAAAAAAAACGUCAUCCCUUUCACGGAAAUAUGUUAUAUUUUAAGAUGUGAGAAACCAAAUGAAAAAUAAUUAGGUCGCAAAAGCAUAAGGCCAAAAAAUAAAGUUAUAAAGUCGGUCGGCCACAGAGAUAAAGUGGAGCGGCGGUUAGAAGAAAAUAGCAAAUGUGUUCAAUUGACUCGGGUCUUCUUCUGCAUAUUCGAUUACCACAGUCUGUCUCACUAAUAAAAUGAUAAAUAAAAAUAAAAAAGAAUGAGAGAAUAAGAGAAAAUUUUCUCAAAAGAGACAAUAAAUUUUUGAGAGAUUCAUGAGAAACUCAUGAUAAUUCAUGAUAAAAGUUGAGAAAUUUAUGAGAAACUCAUAUAACAUUUAUCUGCUCAUAAUUUGUUUAAUUUAGUUUUAUCAUUUAAAAUUUAAUUAUACAAUUAAACUAAACUAAAAUAUUAAUAUAAUUUUAUACAUUGUUGAUGUUCUAAUAUUACCAGGUAUAAAUAUUUUUGAAAAGCAAAAAUAAAUGAAAUUAAUUAUCUACGAUGUCAUUUUUUAAGUUUAAUUUCACUGAUCAGUGACACCCCUAUUUUUAAUUUCGCUUCACGACACCCUUCUAAUUUUUGGAUAAUUUUAUCCUCACUUUUUAUUCCUAACAUCAUUACUUUUUUUAAUGCAAGUUGCUUUUACAUUUUUACUAAAUUAAUAAAUAUAUUAUCUUUCUCUCUUUUCAAUUUCAGUCGUUUCACCUAUUUAGUUUAUUCUUUUCUCAAAAAAUAAAUAUAUAUUGCUUACGAACAUGAAUAGUUUAACAUAUAUAUUGACUUCAUUGACUCUAACUUAUAAACUUAUUUUGUUUACGUCAUUACGUGUACAUGUACAAGGAUAACCAUACAUAUGAUAUAACCAUACAUAUGAUAUGCUGGAAAAAAAAAAAACCAUACAUAUGAUAUAACCAAACAUUUUGCAUGCGCGAAUGUUAAGAACAUGUACAUUAGACAAACUCAUAGAAAGGUUGUUAAUAUUAUUAUAAUAAUUUUUUUGAGUAAUGAAAAGUCAAUAAUUUUUUGAGUUACUUUCGUUGGGGAAGGAAAUGUGUCAGGAGAGAGAAUUUUUUUUGACUCCACCAAUAAACAUCUGCCACGCGCUAAAAAAUGUAUGGAUCAGUCCUUAAAAUCUUUGUAGAAGGAUCGAUCCAAAAACUUUUGGGCUUUUAUUAAAUUUUUAAAUCCAUAAAAAAUUUAAAAGAUCUAUGUAAGGAUUCUCAAACGACAUAGUUUAAUUCUUAAAGAGGUUCUUAGUUUUUUUUUGUUUAAUAUGUUUUGUUUAGAAAAUAAAUUCUAUUUACAAUAAAAUAGUUAUUAAUUUUUUUUAAGAACUUUUAAUGAAGUUCUACCAUUGAAACAAAGAAAACAAAUGUUUUUUAACAAGGGUUUUUAAUAUCUAUUUUAUAAUUAAAUAUUAACCAGAGGUUCUUGCAUUGAACAUGUUCUAAUUUAAUAUACAUAAAUAAAAUGCUUAACUGAUGUUAUGUUAAACGCGUGGACCCUUGAGCCAGCCAAUUGGAUCCAUGAGCCAUUUGACUUUUCUCGUUUAUCAUCCAAUCCAGGUUUUAAGAACAAAUUAAAGGUGUUUUUAGCAAAAUCGCUGAGUUAGAAAAGAGAGAGAAUGGUCGGUCACAAAAGGUUAUUUUAUAGCCAAAAAAAAAAAAGGUGUUUGAAUCUUUAUACAUGGUCAGAAAGGGAUGUAGCGCAGCGUGGUUACGCGUUUGUUUUGUGUACAAAAGUCACGAGUUAUGGGUGAGAAGUCAAUUUCUGAGAAAGUGCUAUACUGAACAAUUUACCGCAAUAAAUAAUGUUUUGCUAUACGCCUCUACCAAUUUUUUUAGUAGUAUUUCGAAGACAAGACUGGAAGAAUUAGUAGUAUAAAGAGAGAACGGUGGUCAUAACUCCCACAAGUCAGAACCACAUAUCUCAAUUCUCAUCCCAUUUUCAACUUUCUAAACCCUAAACCAAAAACAAUGUCUCGAGCUAUGAUUCUCCUCUUUAUCUUGUUUAUCCUCAGCUCUCCAGGAUCCAUCCCCGUUGCGUCUAAAUUAAUCCAAAACUACCCAAGUCCGACCAAUGAAAAUCCUACGCAGCCACGACAGGAUGAUAAACCGAUAGUCCCAACGAUGCCCGCUGCUCAGUCUCGAACCAACCCGCCUCUACCGACUCAGAGCAACAACACGGCUCGCUUAAAUCACAUCCACCCAACAAUUCCGUCGAGGAGGGUCACUCAGGGAGCUACGAGCCAGCCCGAACCAGCAGUUCAACUACUAGUGACCGAGCCAGCUCCGUCUCCACCGGAACUUCUUUCUGCUCGCACAAACCAGGCAGGACACCACAACAACAACAUGUUCUCGCCGGCAAAUCAUCAAAGAGACACGGCGCGUCCUUCCUCUUCGGCUCGGGCUCACCCAACCACCUCGUAUACCCCAUUUCUGACGGUCCCUCAAAAUUUUCAGCCACCAGUUCCAUCUCAUCCGGUCAACAACCCAUGGUGGUAUCAGCUAAGCCCGUUCCUUGCAAGCCAAGGCAAUGAGAUUGCACCAAAUGAAUAUCUCAGGAUGGACCAACUCAGCUUAUGCGUGAUAAAUUACUUCUUGACGGGAGGACUGAGCAACACUGCGUCGUGGGCUCAACGGCCAAGCCUUAGCACCAGCAUACAUAUUCAGUGUUUUCUCAACCAGACGGCCUUUUCACUCUUUGCCCUGGCUCACCUCGUUUUCCCCCGCACGAGGCCACGCUUGGCCUUUAUCAUCGAUCGCCUCUCCUUUUUACUCAUCGUCGUCUCCGGUUACUUGUCUAACAUGCCUAUGUUCCCUCCUUACGUCGCCAUCAUUAUGCUUCUUCUUGUUUCUUUCGUCUAUGUGUUUUCUCGUUUCAGGGGAUAAGUUUGGUUUUGUGUGAUACCAACUCUCAGUAGUGGUUUUGUAAUAUUUUAUAGUAUAAGACUUAGUCUUUGUAUCUUUUUCGUAGUUGGUGAAAUUUCCUUUUUUAUUUCUAAGAGCGUUGGUGAAAUUUUUUUACUGAAAAAAUGUUUGAAGGUUGAUCCUUAGAUUAAUGCAAAAAGAGAAAGUAGAAAUCAAUGAGAAGAAGAAGAUGAACAGAGAAUUAACAGUUCGUGAUUGAAAAAGGAAAGAGGAAGAAAAUGACAAGAAGAGAGAAUCAUGUCUAGAGAAAGAAGAUGAGUCAUCGACAAGAAGAAGAAGAAAAGUCGACGAAGGGAAAAGAAGAAGUCUAAGAAGAAUUAUGUUGUGACUAGAGUCACAACUCACAACAAAACUAAAUUAAGAAGUAAUGAGCCAUUAGUUAUUUAGUUUGGUUAUGAAAAUAAGUAAAAAAGUGGAGUGGUUAAGAGUUGUUGAGAGUUGUUAGAGCAACCUCAAUAGGAGAGACCUUAUAAGUUUCUAGACCUAUAUUAUAAUAGUUUUUGAGCUAAAAGUGAGAUUAGAAACAGGUUUUAGAGACUUUUUAUUUUGGGUUGUGCAAUGGGAGAGAUUCAUAUGAGUUUUUUUAAAAAAAAAAAAUUGUAACAAAAUAAAAAAAAAU
rnacentral:lncRNA from 1 species